rnacentral:rRNA from 1 species
GAUGAACGCUGGCGGCGUGCCUAAUACAUGCAAGUCGAGCGAACAGACGAGGAGCUUGCUUCUCUGAUGUUAGCGGCGGACGGGUGAGUAACACGUGGAUAACCUACCUAUAAGACUGGGAUAACUUCGGGAAACCGGAGCUAAUACCGGAUGAUAUUUUGAACCGCAUGGUUCAAUAGUGAAAGACGGUUUUGCUGUCACUUAUAGAUGGAUCCGCGCUGCAUUAGCUAGUUGGUAAGGUAACGGCUUACCAAGGCAACGAUGCGUAGCCGACCUGAGAGGGUGAUCGGCCACACUGGAACUGAGACACGGUCCAGACUCCUACGGGAGGCAGCAGUAGGGAAUCUUCCGCAAUGGGCGAAAGCCUGACGGAGCAACGCCGCGUGAGUGAUGAAGGUCUUCGGAUCGUAAAACUCUGUUAUUAGGGAAGAACAAAUGUGUAAGUAACUAUGCACGUCUUGACGGUACCUAAUCAGAAAGCCACGGCUAACUACGUG